rnacentral:rRNA from 1 species
ACGCGAAGAACCUUACCUGGUCUUGACAUCCACAGAACUUUCCAGAGAUGGAUUGGUGCCUUCGGGAACUGUGAGACAGGUGCUGCAUGGCUGUCGUCAGCUCGUGUUGUGAAAUGUUGGGUUAAGUCCCGCAACGAGCGCAACCCUUAUCCUUUGUUGCCAGCGGUUCGGCCGGGAACUCAAAGGAGACUGCCAGUGAUAAACUGGAGGAAGGUGGGGAUGACGUCAAGUCAUCAUGGCCCUUACGACCAGGGCUACACACGUGCUACAAUGGCAUAUACAAAGAGAAGCGACCUCGCGAGAGCAAGCGGACCUCAUAAAGUAUGUCGUAGUCCGGAUUGGAGUCUGCAACUCGACUCCAUGAAGUCGGAAUCGCUAGUAAUCGUAGAUCAGAAUGCUACGGUGAAUACGUUCCCGGGCCUUGUACACACCGCCCGUCACACCAUGGGAGUGGGUUGCAAAAGAAGUAGGUAGCUUAACCUUCGGGAGGGCGCUUACCACUUUGUGAUUCAUGACUGGGGUGAAGUCGUAACAAGGUAACCGUAGGGGAACCUGCGGUUGGAUCACCUCCUUACCUUAAAGAA